AAGAGGAAAUGGAUUCUGUUCUGUUCUUCACUCAUCACCUACCUGACAGCUGACACCUCACACCUGUUUCUCACCUGCAGGUCAGACAGGAGGACUGACCGUCGGUCUGACAGUUUCUGCAGUACUUCUUCUUCUUCUUGUUGCUGUUGGUUUCCUGAUCUACAGAGGAUGUAAACUGAAUCCUGCUAAACCUCAUGAAGCAGAGGAUCUUCAGCCUGAAUACAAAACCAUCACAGCUGAGUCUGGACAGGACGUCACUCUGACAUGUCGAGCUGUAAAUAAUGAGUCAGAGAAAAUGAACCAGCAGCUUCAUCAGGUUGAUCCAACAUACACUGAAACAUCUCUCUCAGUCUGAUCCUCUCUGAGUCUCAGUCACUCACUGUAAAUGACCUCAUCAAUAUUUUUCUUCAUAAACUGGUUCAUACGUGCAUAUUAUUCUGUUAUAGCUUGGACACAGCUAAUGUUUUUAUUUGGAAAGGUGUAGAACGACCAGGUGUCAAACAUCAGUCGAUGUAAACUACACAGCAGCACAAGCUCCAACGUACAGAGAGAAGGUUUGCUCAACGGUUAAGAAAUGGGGAAAAGUUAGUAGGUGUAGUUCUAAGUUGCAAAUAGUUCCCUAGCACCUGGUUGAUGAGGGAACAAGGUUGGUAUCAAAGUUUGUUGUGUAAAUGUGUAGUUUGUUAUUUCACAGAGCAUAAAGCUGCUGACUGCUACUGAGUGUAACGGUUACGUUUUCACCCACUAGAGGGCGGUCACGCACCUCGGUCAAUUUUUCAUGUUUAGUCAGCUAUGAAAAGGUUUACAAGAUUCACUGUUAUAUGCUUUUUAAGGUCAAAGACAAUUGUAAUCGUAAUUUUAUCUCAGGGUAUAGAAAAGGUAAGAGGCUAAAUGUUAGAAGGGUUGAAUAAAUAUACACGGCAAAAGCGCUCGAUGUAGAAACUCAAGGGCCUUAAAGGUGUAAUCAUUUAAAGUAAUGAAUUCAUUUAUGAUUAAUAAAUAAGGAAAAGGGUUAAAGGUUUGAGUUACCAAUGGUAAUUUUAUUGUGUACAUUUUGUAGCUUUUACGGUGUGAUCACAUUCAAGGUUGUUCAAUAAAAGGAUUUUGGACCAUCA